rnacentral:rRNA from 1 species
ACUCCUACGGGAGGCAGCAGUGGGGAAUAUUGCACAAUGGGCGCAAGCCUGAUGCAGCCAUGCCGCGUGUAUGAAGAAGGCCUUCGGGUUGUAAAGUACUUUUCAGCAGUGAGGAAGGUGGAUAUGUUAAUAGCAUAUUCAUUUGACGUUAGCUGCAGAAGAAGCACCGGCUAACUCCGUGCCAGCAGCCGCGGUAAUACGGAGGGUGCGAGCGUUAAUCGGAAUUACUGGGCGUAAAGCGCAUGCAGGUGGUUUGUUAAGUCAGAUGUGAAAGCCCGGGGCUCAACCUCGGAAUUGCAUUUGAAACUGGCAAACUAGAGUACUGUAGAGGGGGGUAGAAUUUCAGGUGUAGCGGUGAAAUGCGUAGAGAUCUGAAGGAAUACCGGUGGCGAAGGCGGCCCCCUGGACAGAUACUGACACUCAGAUGCGAAAGCGUGGGGAGCAAACAGGAUUAGAUACCCUUAGGCUCUGC